rnacentral:lncRNA from 1 species
GGUUGGUGGCCAUGCUAUGGCAGCCACCCACAUACAAAAUAAAGGAAGACUGGCAUAGAUGUGAGCUCAGCAACAAUUUUCCUCAUGAAAAAAAAAACCCAAAAAUGUUGGACUUUAUACCAUUGUAAUGAUAAACAUUAAAACAUACUCAUGAAUGGAACCACGCUUAUGAGAGAGUGGCACAGAAUCAAAGAGAUUCAUUUUAAUAGAUUAACCAGAAAAAAUAAUAAUCAAAUCACACCUCAGUAGAUGCAGAAAAAGCAGUUGUUAAUAGUUAGUACCCAGUCAUAGUUUAAAAUGUUAGUAACAUCCUGGAAAGCAAGGAAUAAAAUUAUUAAAAUCUGAUUUAAAAACCUCUGCUAGAAAGAGACAGCAGGCUGGCCCCGUGGCUGAGUGGUUAAGUUCGUGCGCUCCGCUGCAGGCGGCCCAGUGUUUCAUUGGUUCGAAUCCUGGGCAUGGACAUGACACUGCUCAUCAAACCACGCUGAGGCAGCGUCCCACAUGCCACAACUAGAAGGACCCACAACAAAGAAUAUACAAUUAUGUAGCCGGGGGGCUUUGGGGAGAAAAAGGAAAAAUAAAAUCUUUAAAAAAAAAAAGAAAAGAAAGAUACAGCAAACAAUCCACAGACUAGGUAAAGUACAGAGCAUUCCUGGAAUGACAGGCAAGAUGCAGAUUUCCACCAUUCUUGCACAUAUUCAGCUUUAUAUCUAAGGUCAUAACCAGCCCAGUGGGUCGAGAAAAAGCGGGAAAUUUGGUGAAAAAGAUACAAAUUAUAAUUAUUUGCCCAGGAUACCUGCCUACAUUAAAAAACCAGGAAAAUUUGCAAACAAUCAGAAAUGUUACAGAUUUCACCAAGGCUGCUGCUGGACAACAGAUCACCUCCCACAACUCAAAAGAGACCUAUUCACCAGCAACAACUUCUUACAGAAAAAAAAUGAUUUCUUUUCAAAAGAGCCCUCUCAGAACAAAAACAAAGACUGGGUAAUUGAAGGACAAAUCUACAAAUAAUCGUCAAGGUCAUUCUGCAUAAAAUGGUAAACUUUUAUUGGGGGGCAUUAAAUAUCUGAACAUAUGGGGAGAUAUAACUUGCCUACGAAUGGGAAAGUUUAACAAGAAGCUGAUUCGUCCAAAUUCACUUGUAAACUCUAAACAAUGCUGAUCUGAAUGCUACCUGCCCUUUGUGUCUGUGUGUGGACUUGAUAAAGUUUUGCCCCCAAAUCAUAUAAGCAAAUAAUAUAAAUACAAUGUAAUACGUCAAUUAUAUCCCAAAAGAAUAAUAUGGAAUAAAUUCUCAACUAUUCUAAAAUUUAUGUGGAAGAACAGGAUAUUUUGAAAAACAUGAAGGAAAGGCUUUCUCUGUAUGCCCUUCAGAAAGGUGAAAUGAUAAAAAGCUGAUAAAUGGUGUGGGUUGACAGGGGUCAGGGCUAAAGGUCAGAGUGUAGACUGGGGUAUCCAUGAUGGAGAUUAAAUGUUUUAUACGUUUAAAACAUGACCAAGUAGCCAGGAUCCUGGGAAUGAAUCGAGGAAGAAACUCUCAUCCUGGUCAAACGAGAUGACAGUUGAGGGGGUUGUCACAGAAUCCUUCACAGUCAUGGGAGUGGGAGGCAGCCUAAGGGCAUUACUGAAGGAAGAUGCCAGCAACACGUGGAGAUGCACACCAGGGAAUAUGAUGCAGCAGUGAGAAGCAAUGGGAUAAAUACACUCAGUGUCACACAGUUUUAUAAAUAGUGGUGUGCAAAAAAUAAACAGAAUGAAAUUUAAAAUACAAUCUUAUUUAUGUACAUUAAAAACAUAUGCUCCCGUGAAAAUGUCCUAGGAAAGGAGGACUCAAAUAAACAAAGUUGCUCAUAUAAAUAAGGGAAAUAAACGUUUUUGGACAUUGGAAGAGUGGUCUGUGGUGGGCAAGAAAAUGAGAGAGAGGCAGGGGAUGAGAGAGAAAAAGAAAAAGUAAUGUAGAUGGAAUAAGCUCCAGUGGGAUGGCAGCUAAACAGGUGGGCAUUUGUCUGGGGAGCAAACAAUGAGGGGAGAUGCCCUAAGUGGGUGGCGGAGACCCCACUUCAGCUCCUGGGCAGCUGGGUGUCUUACUGAUGCCCUAACAUGCACUGUGCAGAACUGCAUUCUGGGAUUCCAUAGAGGGUCUGGUGGACAGGGUGACAUACCUCCAACUGAAUGCAUUGCAGCGCUAAACCUAGGCACGCGCAUCCUGUUACCAGCUCACAGUUAUAGACAAUAUAUGAAAUAUUCCACCACGUUCACCGAGUUCAGUCAUGGGACCUUCUCUGCGAGAGAGGUCCUGCAGGCAAGGCUCUGUGAAUAAGCACAAACUGUGGACAAACAGGCUCGAGACCUUCUUGCUUGCCCUGUUUGAAGACAGUGGAAGCAGAGACGUAGCAUAUAUACUNNNNNNNNNNNNNNNNNNNNGGGGGGGGGGGGGGGGGGGCAGCAGACAAAAAGAGGGGAGUGACCAGAAGGGGGCAAACUUUUCUCUCUGGACUAUUCAUAGCUGGAGCUCUGAUCCCACGGGUCCAUGAGGUCUAGUGCACUUGAUGGGUGAUGGGAUUCCUGGGCUUGUAGAUGCAGAGCUUUGCGCGCGCGCGCGCGUGUGUGCCUGCGUGUGCGCGUGCAUCUGUGUGUGUGUGUGUGGGGGGGUGCAUCAAGACAGCGGGUGAAUAGGGAUCCAUUCAACUGCUGGCGUUUGGAGAGGGCCUGAGGGCAGAGCGCAAACCUUCCAUCUGCGCUAUCGAGGGGGAAAGAUUACUGAUCCAUAGUGAGAAGCUGGAAGAUCAUUGCUGAGACGGAGAAGAACCAAAUUCCCAGGUCGGAACAGACAAGGCAGAACUCAAAUGGUGCCAAAUUCCAAUUAAACAAGUUCCCACCUCUGAACAAGAUCUAGGUUCCUGAGGUCAAAGAAAGAUUUCCCUGGAAUUGGUGUGUCUGCGCGAGGAGACCAGCCUUGUGGGCCAAGAGGGAGUUGGGACCAGUGAACAGAUGGGAGGUGACCUCGGGGGGGCUGGGAGAUAAGACUCAUGAGUUGCACGCGUUUCAGGAGAGGAGACUUGCAAGGGCAGGAGCGCGGAUGCCAGGGCACCGACACUGGCGAGGACACCCGCAGCUGGAGCGCAACGGGCGUGGAGACCAGUACGGAGUCCAGCGUCGCCACCGUUGCAGGAGAGGGCACUUGGCAGCUGAGAAGACUUGCACUGUGGGUGUCACGGGCGUUGUAGGCGACGAGACAGGUCUUGCGCACGUGGAGGCGGGCGAUGAGACUGGCGACAGGGGCUUACGCAUGGAGACUGGAGAGGAAGUCUCUGUCCGGGGCAUCACCAACGUCCGGGGCGGGAGACUGGCGUCACAGACGUCGGGGGCGUGGAGAGGGGCGAGGAGAUUGGCAGUGGGGUUUGACCAGCGAGGUGAGGAGACAGGAGCGGAGAGCUGCCUUGGGGUGUUGGUGGCGUGGAGUCGAGGGAGGAGACUGGUAUCGGAGGCAUAGAGAUGAGCGAAAAGAUGCCAGACGAGGGUGUCGAGGGCAUGGUGGGCGUGCAGACCGGUGGGGAGACCCGCGUCCCGGACGUUGCAGCGGUCUGGGGUGGGGAGAUGGCCGAGGAGAGCUGCGUUCCAGGCGUGGAGACCGGAGAUGCGGGCAACUGGAGCGUGGGCAUCGAAAAGGAGACCGUGUCUCCGGUGUUGCAGGUGUGGAGACUGGCGUGCGGGGAGUGGAGAUUGGCUUGGAGACAUGCGUCCCAGGAGUCGUGGGCAUUGAAGGUGAGGAGACCCGUGACACUUGCGUGGAGACCCGGGAGGGGACUUGCGUCGUGGGCGUUGUAGGGGAGAUCGCCAGCGUCGCAGGCGUUGUGGGCGUGGAGAGGGGCCGGAAGACUGACAGUGAGGGCUUGGCGGGUGAGGAGAUGCGAGAGGAGACACGCGUCUCAGGCGUGGAAACAAAGAGGAGACUGGCAUUACAGACUUUCGAGAUGUGGAGACGCAGAGACCCAUAAAGGGCCCUGCUUUGCAGGUGAGGAGACCUGCAUAGCAGACGAGGGGGCCUCGGAGGUGUUGGGAGAGACAACAUGUCCGCCGUCUCCACUCUGGCCCAUUCCUCCUGACUUUGAUGGGGUUGACGUAUCCUGCUCUGGUUCUUCUGUUCUGGGACCAAAUCUAGAGAGGAGAGAAAAUGUGAAUCGGGAUGAGUGAGUGUGAAAAGGGCCCUGAGAAAACACAGCUCUCAUUUUUCCCAGGACAGAAGCUGCCUUCCCAGAGAAUAGCAGCGUUCCCAUUGGAUUCUCUGGAUCCGGUUAGGAGACUGGUUCCUAACUCCUGCUGUUACUCAGGUUCCAGGAGGGAGGCAUGGAAAAGGGAUGGAGCAAUUGGGAGUUUCUUUCCAGGAACAGGCUGACCACAGGCGGGAAAUACACCUGCAACACAUCCAUCACAGCUGACAGAAGAAUAGAACAAUGUGAUGCCCGGAGCCUCUCAUGCCUGGAGACCAACAUCCCUGGACCCCCUCAUUGCCCAUUUUCCCUCUGUAACUGCCUCAAGAUUCUCUAAACCUUGAAGAUGGGUUUUGUGAGACAUUAGUCACCUAUCUUGUGAUUAGCCGGCUAAUCUAAUUAAACUUCCUUUCUCUGUUGUGAUUAAUUGGCUCAGAUCACAGCGAGCAGAGCCAUCCCAUUGCUCAGUCGGUAUCACCUCCACAAUGCCAAAGUUGUCAUAGGCGACCUUGGCCAGGGGUCCCAGUGGUUGGUGGUGCAGGAGGCAUUGCUGACGAUCUUGAGGGCGUUGUGAUACUUCUCAUGGUUCUUGCCCAUUACAAACCUGGGGCAUCAGCAGAUGGGGCAGAGACGGUGAGCCUUUUGGCUCUACCUUUCAAGAGAGCCCCAGCCUUCUCCAAGGCAGGGAAGACACCAGUGAAUUCCACAACAUGUUCAGCACGGGUUUCACCCCAUUUGACGUUGGUAGGCUCUCCAUCCUGGAAGAUGGAGAUGGGCUUUCCAUUGAUGACAAACCUUGACUGUGCCGCUGAGCCUGCCAAGGUUGGAAUCAUUCUGGAACACAUAGACUCUGUAGUUGAGGUCAGUGAAGGGAUUAUUAAUGAUGCCCAGGUGCCCAACGUGGCCUGAUCCAUUUCCUCUGACUUUCACCAUUGUGUCUCAGGGACACGCCUAGCAGGCACAAGAUUUGGCUGCCUGUUGAAUGGGAGGAGCAGAGGGCCUAAACUUUUUAAAUUAAAUGGUCUCAGAAAUGCCUACCUGAGUCUGAAAAAGCAUACCUUAAGGAUAAGCUUUUAGCUUGAGGGAGAGAGAAGAAGACAAUGAAUUUCUGAGUCUUAGUGGUGGUUUCCAUCCAUGGCCAUAUAUCAGCAUCCUCUGAGGAGUUUUACAAAAUGCCUGGGGCUUCACCCCAGGGUCAGUCAACUCAAAUCUCUGUAGGUGGGGCCCAAGAAUAAGGAUUUGUAUACAAUCCUCAAAUGGCUUUAGUGCACAGGUAGAGUUGGAAACCACUGGCUCAGUCACCAUCUUUAAAAGGAUUAACUUGGUGUCCGCAGGAGUUCACCUUGGAGUCUGGGGAAUAAAACUGUGCAACAGAGUACUUGGGACAGCUAGUAAGAGCAUCACCCCCUGGCUAACACUCCCUGCCUACCUGGAAGACAGUCCCAGAUCCAGAUAAUGUGAAAUACAUGCCAUUAGGUUGGACAUCUGCUGCCUUGGACCAGUAGCUUUCCACCAGGGGAAUUUUGCCCCCAGUAGACAUCGGCAAUGUCUGGAGAUAUUUUUGGAUGUGACAGCUGGGAAGUGGGGGGGUGGGGGUGGGAGGGAUGCUACUGCCAUCUAGUGGGCAGAAACCAGGGGUGCUGCUAAACAUCCUACAACUUCCAGGACAGCCUCACACAACAAAGAGGUACCAGGCCUCAGAUGUCAAUAGUAACAAGACUGAGAAUCCUGCCAUAGAUUCUACCAUCCACUACGCUUCCUUAUUGAGGUUCUUUACCGUCAUGUUGGUUACCUCCUCUCAUAGACCCAAGAUUGGAAUGCCUUCCACCAGAUAGUCACAUGGCUCCUUCUCAUUUUAUUCAAAUCUCUGCUGAGAUAGCACCUCCUCAAAACAAAAAUAAACACAAAACCUCCCAAAGACCACCCCCAAAGUCAAAACAAAAAUACUCUCCCUAAGCAUUUUAUCUUAAAAAGCAUCCAUUGGUCUCCAUCCCUUUGUACUGCCUUCUUUUUCUUUUCUUUUCUUUUCUUUUUUUUUUUCUUUUGAGGGACAUUAGCCCUGAGCUAACAUCUGCUGUCAAUCCUCUUUUUUGCCGAGGAAGAUGGGCCCUGAGCUAACAUCCGUGCCCAUCUUCCUCUACUCUAUAUGUGGGACACUUGCCACAGCAUGGCUUGACAAGCAGUGUGUAGGUCUGCACCUGAGAUCUGAACCAGCAAACCCCAGGCCACUGAAGUGGAACGUGCUAAUUUAACUGCUGCGCCACUGGAGCGGCCCCUGCCUUAUUUGUCUUGAGCACAUUUAUCACUUCUUAGCAUCAAAUUACAUAUCUCUUUGUUGUCUUUUUCUUUUACUGAAUGUAAGAUCUAUAAAAUCAGGGCCUCUUUUGUUUACUGCUGAAUUCAUUCAUUUAUUUAACAAAUAGUAAGUGAUCGACUAUUCCAGUCACUAUCAUAGACCCC